ACGUCGGCCGCCCCGUCCUCAGGGAUCACGUCCACGUCCUGAACCGUGGCCUCCUUAUACAGCCAGCUGCGGACAGACAAGCGUUGUACGGAAACAAGCAGAACCUUUUAAAUCUCUCCAGGGCCGGGUGUGAGUCUCGACACAGGUGCAGCCUCAGCGUCCUCCGACUCCCACUGGUGUGUGCUCCUGGCUCACCUGGGCAGCCCAAGAGGCCGUUUCCCCCCUGGGCCAGCGAGACCCCUGUCCUUCAGUGCGUCUGGGUCGAAUGUGCUCGGCAGCAGCGGACAGGAAAGGAGGUUUGCGGAAGGAGCAGGUCUGGACGGACCCACCUGUCAGGUGUUGGAAGUUUCCUUUGCCGAAGACGAGCUUGCUGUCCGGGGAUUUGGUGGAUACGACCAUUGUCUGCACCACGGACCAGCCGUCCAGCGUGUGCACCAGCGCUGUAGCCUCCGCCACCUGCCACUCGGCUGCGGGGACACAGGGGCCACCGUGAGAGAUGCUUCUGUUCGGGGUAGGCCCGGGGCCCCCGUCCACACCUGCCCAGGGAGCCCUCCUGUCCUUGAGACAAUGUCCCCUGAGAACGCACCCCCAGCCGGCGUUUGUCCCAGAUACGACUCCGUGCCCCGUAGGUCCUCUAAGUACGAAUCUGACGGGGGAAGGACGCCGGAGCCACAGCGGGACACGAGGGCGACCCUGCCUGACGUGGAAUUGGGGCUCCAGGAGGGCGCAGCAGGGAACUGGGGAGCUGGGGGUGCUCAGGGAUUACUGAGGAACCGCGGGCAGGUUUUGGGAGGAGAGAGGCAAGAGAUCUGCGCGCUGUUCUGAGCAGUUUGGGGCUUCUGCUGUUCCAAGAACUGACCAUUUUGGAAAACACC